rnacentral:rRNA from 1 species
AGAGUUUGAUCCUGGACUCAGGAUGAACGCUAGCUACAGGCUUAACACAGUGCAAGUCGAGGGGUAACGACAGUAAAGCUUGCUUUAUUGGGCGACGACCGGCGAAUGGGUGCGUAACGCGUAUCCAACCUGCCCUUCACACUGGGAUAGUCUCCCGAAAGAGAGGUUAACCCCGGAUGGUGUCAUUGUGACGCAUGUUAUGGUGACUAAAUGAAUAAGGUGAAGGCUGGGGAUGCGUCCGAUUAGGCAGUUGGCGGGGUAACGGCCCACCAAACCGACGAUCGGUAGGGGUUCUGAGAGGAAGGUCCCCCACAUUGGAACUGAGACACGGUCCAAACUCCUACGGGAGGCAGCAGUGAGGAAUAUUGGUCAAUGGGCGAGAGCCUGAACCAGCCAAGUAGCGUGCGGGAGGAAGGCCCUAUGGGUUGUAAACCGCUUUUGCAGGGGGGUAAAAAGAGGUACGUGUACUUCAUUGCAAGUACCCUGCGAAUAAGGACCGGCUAAUUCCGUGCC